rnacentral:rRNA from 1 species
UACGUAGGGUGCAAGCGUUUGUCCGGAUUCAUUGGGCGUAAAGGGUGCGUAGGCGGCGCGGUAAGUCGGGGUGUGAAAUCUCGGGACUUUAACUCCGAAACUGCAUUCGAUACUGCCGUGCUUGAGGACUGGAGAGGAGACUGGAAUUUACGGUGUAGCGGUGAAAUGCGUAGAUAUCGUUAAGGAAGACCAGUGGCGAAGGCGGGUCUCUGGACAGUUCCUGACGCUGAGGCACGAAGGCCAGGGGAGCAAACGGG